rnacentral:rRNA from 1 species
AUGAACGCUGGCGGCGUGCCUAAUACAUGCAAGUCGAGCGAACGGACGAGAAGCUUGCUUCUCUGAUGUUAGCGGCGGACGGGUGAGUAACACGUGGAUAACCUACCUAUAAGACUGGGAUAACUUCGGGAAACCGGAGCUAAUACCGGAUAACAUUUUGAACCGCAUGGUUCAAAAGUGAAAGACGGUCUUGCUGUCACUUAUAGAUGGAUCCGCGCUGCAUUAGCUAGUUGGUAAGGUAACGGCUUACCAAGGCAACGAUGCAUAGCCGACCUGAGAGGGUGAUCGGCCACACUGGAACUGAGACACGGUCCAGACUCCUACGGGAGGCAGCAGUAGGGAAUCUUCCGCAAUGGGCGAAAGCCUGACGGAGCAACGCCGCGUGAGUGAUGAAGGUCUUCGGAUCGUAAAACUCUGUUAUUAGGGAAGAACAUAUGUGUAAGUAACUGUGCACAUCUUGACGGUACCUAAUCAGAAAGCCACGGCUAACUACGUG